rnacentral:rRNA from 1 species
UUGACCUCAGAUCAGGUAGGAAUACCCGCUGAACUUAAGCAUAUCAAUAAGCGGAGGAAAAGAAACCAACAGGGAUUGCCCUAGUAACGGCGAGUGAAGCGGCAACAGCUCAAAUUUGAAAUCUGGCGCAAGCCCGAGUUGUAAUUUGUAGAGGAUGUUUCUGGCGACGCGCCUUCCGAGUUCCCUGGAACGGGACGCCAUAGAGGGUGAGAGCCCCGUACGGUUGGAUGCCUAGCCUCUGUGAAACUCCUUCGACGAGUCGAGUAGUUUGGGAAUGCUGCUCUAAAUGGGAGGUAUACGUCUUCUAAAGCUAAAUAUUGGCCAGAGACCGAUAGCGCACAAGUAGAGUGAUCGAAAGAUGAAAAGCACUUUGAAAAGAGGGUUAAAAAGUACGUGAAAUUGUUGAAAGGGAAGCGUUCAUGACCAGACUUGGGCAGGUUGAUCAUCCGUGGUUCUCCGCGGUGCACUCUGCCUGCCCAGGCCAGCAUCAGUUCGCCCCGGGGGAUAAAAGCUUCGGGAAUGUGGCUCCUUCGGGAGUGUUAUAGCCCGCUGCAUAAUACCCUGGGGCGGACUGAGGUUCGCGCACUGCAAGG